rnacentral:rRNA from 1 species
GCGAUCAUACCAGCACUAAUGCACCGGAUCCCAUCCGAACUCCGAAGUUAAGCGUGCUUGUCCGAGAGUAGUACUAGGAUGAGUGACCCCCUAGGAUGUCCUCGUGUUGCACCCC